rnacentral:rRNA from 1 species
CCUACGGGAGACAGCAGUGAGGAAUAUUGGUCAAUGGGAGGAAUCCUGAACCAGCCAUGCCGCGUGCAGGACGACGGCUCUACGAGUUGUAAACUGCUUUUGUACCGGGGUAAAAUGCUCUACGAGUAGGGUUUUGAAAGUACGGUACGAAUAAGGAUCGGCUAACUCCGUGCCAGCAGCCGCGGUAAUACGGAGGAUCCGAGCGUUAUCCGGAUUCAUUGGGUUUAAAGGGUGCGUAGGUUGUUUUAUAAGUUAGCGGUGAAAUACCGAUGCUCAACAUCGGGGCUGCCACUGAUACUGUAGGACUAGAGAUCGGAUGCAGCAGGCGGAAUAUGUAGUGUAGCGGUGAAAUGCAUAGAUAUUACACAGAACACCGAUUGCGAAGGCAGCUUGCUAGGCCGGAUCUGACACUGAUGCACGAAAGCGUGGGGAGCGAACAGGAUUAGAUACCCGUGUAGUC